UUAAAGGAUAAAUCAAUGCUAUUAGAGAGAAGGGAAACUAUGCAAAAGGAAAAGCAGUACUGCAGUAGAAAAAAAACUCCCUAGAGGUCGACCGAGACCCCUGCGGACCUGCGCUUCGGCCGUUGCGGACCGCAGGAGUGACGAUUCCAUGGCGGAGGAGAUGGCGCAGGCGCAACCGAGACUCACGGCGCCACGUUCGGUCCGCUGUAUUGUCAAGCUAGGUGGAGCGGCGAUUACCAACAAGGGCGAGCUGGAGAGCAUCAACGAGGAGAACCUACGGUCGGCAUGUGCGCAGCUGCGGCAUGCCAUGUCCGAAUCUGACGGCGAUGGCGCCAUGGAGAAGGUUCUGGGAAUGGACUGGAGUAGGAAGCCCGGAGAUCCUGUCGACCCGGCCGUUGACGCGGAGUGGAUCGCGGGGAUAGCUAGGCUGGGGCUCGACACUAACUUCGUCGUCGUGCACGGGGCCGGGUCUUUUGGCCACUUUCAAGCAAGUAGAUCUGGAGUUCAUAAAGGAGGGUUACAUUCGACACUGGUCAAGGCUGGCUUUGUUGCUACAAGAAUUUCAGUGACAUCUCUCAACCAGGAAAUUGUUAGAGCCCUAGCAAGAGAAGGAAUACCAUCUGUUGGGAUGUCACCAUUUGCUUGUGGGUGGUCUACCCAACAAAGAAAACUUGCAUCAGCAAAUGCUUCUCAAAUAUUUCAGUCACUCCAUGCAGGUUUUGUCCCAGUUUUGCACGGUGAUGCAGUUCUUGAUGAAUUAUUGGACUGUACCAUAUUGAGUGGGGAUGUCAUUAUACGACAUCUUGCACAGCUUCUGAGUCCGAAAUAUGUAGUAUUUCUGACAGAUGUCCAUGGAGUGUAUGAUCGCCCUCCAACUGACUCAAAUGCAGUACUUCUGAGAGAAAUAGAGGUGGAUGACAUUGGAGGCUGGUCGAUUGUAAAACCUGCAUUGCUGCAAGGCAACACUAAAGGAGCCGAAUCGCUGCAUCGCUGCAUGAGCUCUGCAGGGGAGGGCAAAAACGUCCAAAUCUGCAAUUAAAUACCCAGACGAUUUCCUUUCAGUGGAGAUAUCAGUUGCAGCACAUGACACCACCGGUGGGAUGGAGACCAAAAUACUGGAGGCUGCAGUGAUAGCUAGGCUUGGAAUAGACGUGUAUAUUACCAAGGCUGGAACAGAACACUCGCUGAGGGCCUUGAAGGGAGAUGUGAGCACCGACUCGGAAGAUUGGCUUGGAACUAUUAUACGCUCUUCCAAAUAGAUUUCUUGUUGCAAAAACAUUCGGACUGGUUUACUGGCGAUUUUCCCGAUGUUAUAUGAGCAGUGAUGAGCCUUGGGCUUUCGAUGAUGAUCCAGCACGGGUCUAUUCCCUACUGUGGUCGUAGUUUGGUUUACAAGCGUCAGCCUGAUGUUACAAAUGCCGUUCAGUAAAUUUGUUUUGUUUUCUGAAAAGAUAAGAUGCAUUGGUCGCAAGAGAGGAAAAAAUUGAUUUU